AGAUGAGGCUGCUCAUUGUCAUUUUCUGAGCUGUGAACGGGCAGGAAGCUGCACAACGAGAUGAGACUGGUCAUUGCCAUUUUCUGAGCUGUGAACGGGCAGGAAGCUGCACAACAAGAUGAGGCUGGUCAUUGUCAUUUUCUGAGCUGUGAACGGGCAGGAAGCUGCACAACAAGAUGAGGCUGGUCAUUGUCAUUUUCUGAGCUGUGAACGGGCAGGAAGGUG